rnacentral:rRNA from 1 species
AAAUUGUUAAAGGGGAACCGCUGGAGACAAGAAUGCGGCCCGGGGCUCAGCCUGCACUCUGGCUGGUGUACUUCCCCGGGGGCGGGCCAACGUCUGUUUGGGCGGCCGGGCAAAGGCCCCAGGAAUGUGUCGCCCUCCGGGGCGUCUAAUAGCCUGGGGUGCAAUGCGGCCAGCCCGGAACGAGGAACGCGCUUCCCUCUGACCCUGGCUUAAUGGUCGCAAAACACCCGAUGCUGGCACAGACGAUGUAAGUGGCCCGUCUUGAAACACGGACCAAGAACCGCGAUCCAGAAGCCUACGCGAGGCGGGUGGGAGGGUUGUGUGGCCUUCCCUUUUAAAACACACUCAUGGUCCUAUUAUUUGUGAAUGCCCAUUACGCACGGAGGAAGGCUCCUUUUAUUCCUUUGGUAUUAAAGGAAAAAAAUGCCGGGUCGACCCUUAAAAA